UGCGCAGGUGGUUCGUUAAGAGUGAUGUGAAAUCCCCGGGCUUAACCUGGGAAUUGCAUUGCUAACUGGCGAACUAGAGUACGGGAGAGGGGGUGGAAUUCCGCGUGUAGCAGUGAAAUGCGUAGAGAUGCGGAGGAACACCGAUGGCGAAGGCAGCCCCCUGGCCUGCUACUGACACUCAUGCACGAAAGCGUGGGGAGCAAACA
rnacentral:rRNA from 1 species